UGAUGUGUAAGUAUAAAUAUUUGACUUUGAAACUGCGAAUGGCUCAUUAUAUCAGUUAUAGUUUAUUUGAUGAACAAUACUACUUGGAUAACCGUAGUAAUUCUAGAGCUAAUACAUGAUAAAAUCCUCGACUUUGAAGAGGUGUAUUUAUUAGAAUGAAACCAAGAGACUUCGGUCUAUUUGUGAGUAAUAAUAACUAAUCGUAUCGCAUGCUUAGGUAGCGAUAUGUCUUUCAAGUUUCUGCCCUAUCAGCUUUGGAUGGUAGUGUAUUGGACUACCAUGGCAGUAACGGGUAACGAAGAAUUUGGGUUCGAUUUCGGAGAGGGAGCCUGAGAGAUGGCUACCACAUCCAAGGAAGGCAGCAGGCGCGUAAAUUACCCAAUCCUGACAUAGGGAGGUAGUGACAAUAAAUCACAAUGCGGAACUAUUAGUUUUGCAAUUGGAUUGAGAACAAUGUACAAAUGUUAUCGAUAAACAAUUGGAGGGCAAGUCUGGUGCCAGCAGCCGCGGUAAUUCCAGCUCCAAUAGCGUAUAUUAACGUUGUUGCAGUAAAAAAGCUCAAAA
rnacentral:rRNA from 1 species